rnacentral:rRNA from 1 species
UACGUAGGGACCAAGCGUUGUUCGGAUUUACUGGGCGUAAAGGGCGCGUAGGCGGCGUGGUAAGUCAGCUGUGAAAUCUCCGAGCUUAACUCGGAACGGUCAGCUGAUACUGCUGUGCUAGAGUACAGAAAGGGCAAUCGGAAUUCUUGGUGUAGCGGUGAAAUGCGUAGAUAUCAAGAGGAACACCUGAGGCGAAGGCGGGUUGCUAGGCUGAUACUGACGCCGAGGGGCGAAAGCUAGGGUAGCAAACGCG